rnacentral:rRNA from 1 species
AGUGAACGCUGGCGGUAGGCCUAACACAUGCAAGUCGAACGGCAGCACAGUAGGAGCUUGCUCCUACGGGUGGCGAGUGGCGGACGGGUGAGGAAUACAUCGGAAUCUACUUUUUCGUGGGGGAUAACGUAGGGAAACUUACGCUAAUACCGCAUACGACCUACGGGUGAAAGCAGGGGAUCUUCGGACCUUGCGCGAUUGAAUGAGCCGAUGUCGGAUUAGCUAGUUGGCGGGGUAAAGGCCCACCAAGGCGACGAUCCGUAGCUGGUCUGAGAGGAUGAUCAGCCACACUGGAACUGAGACACGGUCCAGACUCCUACGGGAGGCAGCAGUGGGGAAUAUUGGACAAUGGGCGCAAGCCUGAUCCAGCCAUACCGCGUGGGUGAAGAAGGCCUUCGGGUUGUAAAGCCCUUUUGUUGGGAAAGAAAAGCAGCAGGUUAAUACCCCGCUGUUCUGACGGUACCCAAAGAAUAAGCACCGGCUAACUUCGUG